UAAAAAGGUGCUACGAAGAAAACUAUUCCUUGGCCGAGGAGGAUCGUCAUUAUCACUUGUGGACCCUUCGUUGUCCUUUGUCACUUUGUAAUGCCAUAAUAAUGAAGCAUGGCGUGCACGUUGACUUUCAGCAUCAAAACCACAUUAAUGCACAUUAUACAAUCUGCAGACAUACACAAAGUAAAAGAUAUGCACAAUAUCAUAAUGUAUAAAUAAUCAGAAUGUAUAACAUGACGUUAUACAAUCAUCAUACAUUCGCAAAGUAAAUGGUAUUCAAUAUGCAUACAUUCACAAAGUAAAAUGUAUGCCAAAUAUCAUAAUGUAUAUAAGAUCAGAAUGUAUAAUGUGACAUUAUACAAUCUGCAUACAUUCACAAAUUAAAUGGCAUUCAAUAUUCAUGUUCCUUUUCAUGUACAAUAUCCCUCAAAAAUACCUCUCCAAUCUCCGUUUCAGCAAUCGCUCCAACAUCCAAUUCAAGAAGCACUUUGUACAAGGUGCUCACCUCCUAUCUCAAGCCAAAUCCGCCACCUAGCAUCAACACCAACUUCCUCUUCAUCAUCUUAUUCCCUCGCUAAAUUAGCGGAAGAGCAAGCCGAUUUAGCGAUAUCGGCUUAUUUUGAUGUCUUUGUUAUAUGCAAUUGGAUUACAAAAAAAUUAAAAUAAUUUUUAA
rnacentral:lncRNA from 1 species